UUUCCUUUCGCUCUUGAUUUUUUUUUUUUUUUGAAUUAUUAAACUUGUAUUAGACGACGUUCGAUUCGAUUUGUAAUUUAAUUAACGUUGAUGUAAUUUAAAUAAAGAUGCGGAAAGAAAUUACUGUCUGAUUAUCGUCUAUUGACAGAAUUUAACCAAUUGAAUGUAUCUGAAGAUGGAGGAGCCAAGCUUGCUUUGAAAAUGGUUUAAGCCUAUUUCAAUAAUUUGUUUAAUUAAAUUCCAAAUAUGAGCUGUCCUAUCUAAUAGGCAAUUGAAUAAAUCAAAUUGGAAAUUCAGAACUAAGCAGAUGAUGAAACAUAUGUGAAGGCUCCAGGCUCGUGCUAUUAUACAAUGUUUGAAGGAGAAGUUCUAGAAACUCAAACAUUGAUUGGUGUUGAAAAGUUUGGCUCAGAAUAUCUGGUAUGACAAGCAAUUUGCCAGCAUGGAUUGAAAGUUUGUCAUUUGUAACAAAAGGAAAUAUUAGUGCUGAAAUUUAUAUUAAUGAAUGUUAAAAAAGGAAGAUGAUUUUUUAAAGAAAUUGCAAUGGCCAUACUUAGUUUUGGCCAGAUUUGGCAACAAUACACUAUAUAAAAUUCACAGUAAGUUGGCUGGAAUGGCACAGAAUCAAUUUUGUACCUCAAGACACAUCCACCAAACAUACUACAAUGCCAACCAAUAGAAAGAUUUUGAUGUUUUGUAAAAAACAGAACAAAACUGAAAAAGACAUUAAAAGUUUUUCUCUGAAGUAGAAAAGAGCAGUCACAAUGAUUGAAGGACGUACUGUCAAAAAUCUUAUGGAGAGCAUUCAAAAGAAACUUCAGAAUGAAUGGAGCAAAACUUACAUAUUCAGAUUUAAAUAAUUAUAACAUUUAUUUU
rnacentral:lncRNA from 1 species